rnacentral:rRNA from 1 species
UGAGGAAUAUUGGUCAAUGGGCGUGAGCCUGAACCAGCCAAGUAGCGUGCAGGAAGACGGCCCUAUGGGUUGUAAACUGCUUUUAUGCGGGGAUAAAGGAGUCCACGUGUGGAUUUUUGCAGGUACCGCAUGAAUAAGGACCGGCUAAUUCCGUGCCAGCAGCCGCGGUAAUACGGAAGGUCCGGGCGUUAUCCGGAUUUAUUGGGUUUAAAGGGAGCGUAGGCCGCGUUUUAAGCGUGUUGUGAAAUGUAGACGCCCAACGUCUGCCUCGCAGCGCGAACUGGGACGCUUGAGUACGCGCAACGUUGGCGGAAUUCGUCGUGUAGCGGUGAAAUGCUUAGAUAUGACGAGGAACUCCGAUUGCGAAGGCAGCUGACGGGAGCGGCACUGACGCUUAAGCUCGAAGGUGCGGGUAUCAAACAGG